CGGCGGACGGGUGAGUAACACGUGGAUAACCUACCUAUAAGACUGGGAUAACUUCGGGAAACCGGAGCUAAUACCGGAUAAUAUAUUGAACCGCAUGGUUCAAUAGUGAAAGACGGUUUUGCUGUCACUUAUAGAUGGAUCCGCGCCGCAUUAGCUAGUUGGUAAGGUAACGGCUUACCAAGGCAACAUGCGUAGCCGACCUGAGAGGGUGAUCGGCCACACUGGAACUGAGACACGGUCCAGACUCCUACGGGAGGCAGCAGAC
rnacentral:rRNA from 1 species